rnacentral:rRNA from 1 species
CCUACGGGAGGCAGCAGUGAGGAAUAUUGGUCAAUGGGCGCGAGCCUGAACCAGCCAAGCCGCGUGAAGGAUGACGGCCCUACGGGUUGUAAACUUCUUUUAUAAAGGAAUAAAGUCAGGCACGUGUGCCUGUUUGUAUGUACUUUAUGAAUAAGGAUCGGCUAACUCCGUGCCAGCAGCCGCGGUAAUACGGAGGAUCCGAGCGUUAUCCGGAUUUAUUGGGUUUAAAGGGAGCGUAGGUGGGUUGUUAAGUCAGUUGUGAAAGUGCGCGGCUCAACCGGAAAAUUGCAAUUGAUACUGGCAGUCUGGAGUACAGUUGAGGUAGGCGGAAUGCGUGGUGUAGCGGUGAAAUGCUUAGAUAUCACGAAGAACUCCGAUUGCGAAGGCAGCUUACCAAACUGCCACUGACAUUGAUGCUCGAAAGUGUGGGUAUCAAACAGGAUUAGAUACCCGUGUAGUC